rnacentral:lncRNA from 1 species
AUUGUAACCUGUUGCUGGGUCAAAAUCUUGUGUUCUUUCCCUCCUUCUAGUUAUGAAAUGCUUGCUCACAUUUUGGGAAGCAGUCAACAAAAAAUGAACUUGAAAGAUUCUUUCCUCUCUGCACUAGCCUAAUUCAAUAAGCAGAGCUUCAACCAGGAAUGAACUGCCCUAAAUCCUCACCCAUUCCUUAUUUCCUUGGAGCGUUAUUCAGAUGAUUGACAAGGCUUCUUGCUACAACAUUCAAGAGCCAGCCUAUACAACUUCACAGUUAAGGCCACCGGGUGUCGUCUAGCAUGAGAUCAGACAGAAGA